GGGGUCGACUGGUUUUGACAGCGGGUGGAAUUGAUUAGUAAGCACGUCGAGCCAAGUAUGGUAGGCUCGUAAAUCUCUGCUAUACGACUUUUAAACGGCGAAAAUAAUUACGCUUUAGCUGCUUAAUCUGAAUCAUAGUAAGAUUUGCCUAGUUCCUACCAGGUAGGAAAGCUAGAUUCUCCUCAGAAGCCUUGGUUUAUGGCGUCUGGUACAGGGGAACCGUAAAAGUAAACCUAGGAACGGUAAUGCUUUAAAUCCGUUCUGACACUGAUAAAGCUAAGCAGAAAGUGGCGGUUUCCGGCCUUGCUUCCUGUCGAAAACCCAAGCGGAAACUAAACGUGUAGAAAGCUCUUUGAUUGCCUGUUUGGACGAGAGUUCGAUUCUCUCCGACUCCACUA
rnacentral:tmRNA from 1 species